CAAACAGAUUCAUUCCAGUUGGAGCUCCACUGGAGCCAACAGCUCUAGUUUUCUAAAUUGUUGUAUAAAUUUCAAAAUUUGUUCUGCUUUUUCUCUUUGUUUAUUUCUGUUGAGAGAAACAAAUAAAAUCAAAAAGUGCAAAAAUUCAAUUUGUUUCAAAGUUUCUCUUCAAUCAAUGUGAAAUUUUCAAAAAGUGUUGCAAAAUUACGUUCAGAAGCGGUUUGUGUGUUCGUGUGAAUGGGUGUGAACACAAUGAUGUUGUCACAGAUGCUCUUUGUACACGGCGCAAAAUUUUAAAUGCUCAAACAGAAGUCCAGAUCAAAAGUUUUACGCGUUUCUAUUUAUUUCUAACAACCAAAUAAUCGUAUUUCGUAACCAAGAAGGGAUUUGUUGUGAUUGUUUAUUUCACAAUUCUUAACUUUCAAUGUAUAUUCGCCCAGAGAAUCGGAAACUCUCGGAAUUGAUUGCCCAGCCCAAGGGCAGGUACUCGUUGUCCUUUACAAUUUGCAAGACUCUCAAUGUGUGUCACAAGUUAUAUUCUGAUCAUUCAAUUCAGCAACCAAAAAAUAAAUGAGAAAUUCAAAAUUGUAAUUUAAAAAGCAAUUUUCUAAGCUCGACUUUGAGCUUCUUAUAAAGGAAAAAAUCGUAACAGAAAUUAAUAAAAAAAUAGAUGGAUCAUAUCGUAACGGAAGAAGGUAAGGCCAAGCAACUCUCGAUGCGGAAGGUUCUACUCGAAAUUUAAUUUUAACAGCUGGCCUAACUCCUAACUACAAAAAAAUAGUCAACCAAAAACUGAAUCAAAAUUAAA